ACGGGUGAGUAACACGUAAGGAACCUGCCUCAAGGAUUGGGAUAACUCCGAGAAAUCGGAGCUAAUACCGGAUAGUUCAUCGGACCGCAUGGUCCGUUGAUGAAAGGCGCUCCGGCGUCACCUUGAGAUGGCCUUGCGGUGCAUUAGCUAGUUGGUGGGGUAACGGCCCACCAAGGCGACGAUGCAUAGCCGACCUGAGAGGGUGAUCGGCCACACUGGGACUGAGACACGGCCCAGACUCCUACGGGAGGCAGCAGUAGGGAAUCUUCCACAAUGGACGAAAGUCUGAUGGAGCAACGCCGCGUGAGUGAUGAAGGUUUUCGGAUCGUAAAACUCUGUUGUAAGGGAAGAACACGUACGAGAGGUAAUGCUCGUACCUUGACGGUACCUUACGAGAAAGCCACGGCUAACUACGUGCCAGCAGCCGCGGUAAUACGUAGGUGGCAAGCGUUGUCCGGAAUUAUUGGGCGUAAAGCGCGCGCAGGCGGCCUUUUAAGUCUGAUGUGAAAGCCCCCGGCUCAACCGGGGAGGGCCAUUGGAAACUGGAAGGCUUGAGUACAGAAGAGAAGA
rnacentral:rRNA from 1 species